rnacentral:rRNA from 1 species
UACGGGGGGGGCAAGCGUUGUUCGGAAUUACUGGGCGUAAAGGGCUCGUAGGUGGCCAACUAAGUCAGACGUGAAAUCCCUCGGCUUAACCGGGGAACUGCGUCUGAUACUGGAUGGCUUGAGUUCGGGAGAGGGAUGCGGAAUUCCAGGUGUAGCGGUGAAAUGCGUAGAUAUCUGGAGGAACACCGGUGGCGAAGGCGGCAUCCUGGACCGACACUGACACUGAGGUGCGAAAGCGUGGGGAGCAAACAGG